rnacentral:ncRNA from 1 species
CCUGUGCGCCUUGUUACGGGUGCCCCUCACGGGGUGAAACGGGAAACCGGUGCGCUUGGUUCAUAGAGCAAGUCCGGUGCUGCCCCCGCAACGGUAAGCGAGAGGAAGUCAGAUCCACUGUGCGCAGGCAUGGGAAGGUGACUUCGAAGGACGGCGCUCCAUUGCCAGGUCCCCUCGCGAGCCCGGAGACCGGCCCGCUACGUUUUCAAAUG